CACACAGCAGCAGCAGCACAAUGAUGAUGUCACUGACUCUCCUGCUGGCCACCCUGGGGCUCCUUGUUCAGGGUUCAUCAGGAGAAAUCAUCCUGACUCAGUCUCCUGGAUCUCAGUCUGUUGUUCCAGGACAGAGUGUCUCUAUCAGGUGUAAAGCCAGUUCAAGUGUUGGCUCAUGUCUCCACUGGUACCUUCAAGAGACGGAGAAUCUCCCAAACUCUUAAUUUAUUCCGCUACAAGCCGUCAGUCUGGAGUUUCAGAUCGUUUUAGUGGAAGUGGAUCUGGGACUGACUUCACUCUGAGUAUCAGCAGAGUUCAGGCUGAAGAUGCAGGAGUUUAUUACUGUCAGCAGUGUAACAGCUUCCCGUUCACACAGUGA